GACGAACGCUGGCGGCGUGCCUAAUACAUGCAAGUAGAACGCUGAAGAGAGGAGCUUGCUCUUCUUGGAUGAGUUGCGAACGGGUGAGUAACGCGUAGGUAACCUGCCUUGUAGCGGGGGAUAACUAUUGGAAACGAUAGCUAAUACCGCAUAACAAUGGAUGACACAUGUCAUUUAUUUGAAAGGGGCAAUUGCUCCACUACAAGAUGGACCUGCGUUGUAUUAGCUAGUAGGUGAGGUAAUGGCUCACCUAGGCGACGAUACAUAGCCGACCUGAGAGGGUGGUCGGCCACACUGGGACUGAGACACGGCCCAGACUCCUACGGGAGGCAGCAGUAGGGAAUCUUCGGCAAUGGGGGCAACCCUGACCGAGCAACGCCGCGUGAGUGAAGAAGGUUUUCGGAUCGUAAAGCUCUGUUGUAAGUCAAGAACGGGUGUGAGAGUGGAAAGUUCACACUGUGACGGUAGCUUACCAGAAAGAGACGGCUAACUACGUG
rnacentral:rRNA from 1 species